CGGAGGGUCUGAGGGCUCCGAGGAGAAGGAACAUGAUGAUGUCAUAGAGUCAUUGUGGGGGAGGGGCCGGCCAGCCAGGGCAGGCAGGGGCGGCCUCUCUGACGAGAAGGAGGCCACUGGGCUGAGGCCAAAGAAUGAGAAAGAGCCAGCCACGUGGUGAGCCGGGAGAGGGCAUCCCAGGCAGUGCGACCAGCGCUUGCAAAGGCCCUGGGGCUGGACAGUUCUUGGCGGAGUCUGAGAUGAAGAAACUGAGGCUUGGAGCAGGGAAGGAUCUUCCUUUGAGCCCCUUCUCGCCAUCACCUACCCUUGAAGAAAAAGCACAACCCGACCUCUAACACCAUCGACCAGCUUUGCCUGUUUUGUAAUUUAAAUAAAUGGAC
rnacentral:lncRNA from 1 species